UCCUCUCCUUGUAGGCCAGGUGUUUAGAAAACUAGACAUCAUAGUGACCAUUGAAUCAUAGCAUUUAGAACUGUAGGGGCAUCCUAGAAAUUCUCUCACCCAAUCCUCAUUUUACAGAGGAAGAGACUGAGGCUUAGAGUGUUUAAGUUGUUUCUCCAAGGUGAAACAGUGAGGUGUACUUGUUAUCUUUUUACGCUGCUUUACUGAUGUAAUUGUAUUGCCAUUGCUACAUAGAAUCAUAGAAUCACAGAAUAUUGGAACUGGAAGGGGCCUUAGAAAGUGUCUAGACCAACUGCCUUCUCAAACCACCCAGCCAGAAAUGAUCUCUGCUUCCCCUGAGCUCCCAUAAUACUUACUACUCUGAGAGAUCUUAGAAAGAGAGCAAGAAGGUGUCCCAGAAGAAAAAAAAAACAACUUUGGAAGACUAAAGAAUUCUGUUGAUAGCAAAUAACUUCAGAGAACCUGUGAUGAAGCAUGUCACCCACCUCCAGACAGAGAAGUGAUGGACCCAAAGAAUGUUUGUUUGUAUGAUAAGGACAUUGAGGCCAAGAGAUGCUACGUGACCUUCUCAAGGUUAUGCAGGUCGAGCACAGCAAAGCCUAGACACACACUGUUCUUCAGAGGCCCACAGUUACUAAGUACCGGAAAUGUGAAUUCCAGGCCAGGUCUCCUCGAAGUCUGAGUCAGAGAUGUACUGGAGCCAGCUGGUACCGGCUAGCAAGAGCUGAUUGUUUAAUUUUCGUUGUGAACAUUUAUACUUUUGAAAUGGGCAAAGGCUAUAAAUCAGGGUUUGAUUUGUUGUGGGUUUUUUUAAAUUGUCUAAACUUAAGGAAGUGAUGGAAAAAAGUUAAUAAUUCAGAUUAAACUUAAAAGUAUACUGUAUGCACAUUCCCCUUCCCCCUACCCCCAAAAGGUGAUUACUAAACAUUUAUCUGCACACUCCUGCUGUUGCCUCCCAAACACAGGUACCUUCAGAGCAGGGCCUUGAGCACAGAACUCUGGCUGGGAAGGACUCUUUAUGAAAGGUAAUAUCUCCUAUAGUUUUAGGUGCUUUUCUAUCCAUUUUUGCUUUUAAAUUCCUGUUAGGCCCUAGGCUCUAAGGUUCACAGUGAAACAUCUAGGCUUUUUGAGAGGGUACAGAAACUUCUUCAGAUAUCCCCCAGCCAGACUUCAAUGAUAGCAGAGGUUCUCUCAGGAUUUUAAAUAUGGGCCUCAUAGCCUGCAAAAGGCUGUGCUGGUUAAUAUGAAUUAAACUGGUUCCUUCCCUAUGUAGAGACCACCCUAUAGUCAUCACUAUCCAAGUGCUAAGGAUACAAAUUAAAAAAAAAAAGGAAACAGUCCCUGUGAGCCCUCAAGGAGCUUACAAUCUAAUGGGGGAAUACAAAACACAAAAGGAGGCUGAGAAGGAGGGAGGAAUACCCAACACACAGUGGACAAGUCGGUUGGAGAAGUCUCAGUACAGUGGAACCAGGGGAGAAACGAAAUGAAGAAAUGUCUGAGCUGAGAUCUCUCCUUAAAUGGAGAUCUAGAGUUCAUAACUCCACCCCCCUCCAGUCAGAGAGACUGAGAGUAGCGAUGAGGUGGAGUCCCAAGGCUGAGGAGAUCUUGCAGGAUGUCGAGGUAAUCCCAAUAAUCAAUCAUCUUUCCUGGACGUGGUGAAGUGGGUCAGAGAAAUCCCAAGACAGUGCAGCCAGGUGAGAAACGAGAUGUCUGAUCUGAGGUCUCCUCUGGCAUUGGGGUACGAUAAAGUCCUCCCUUUUACCCCCAACUUAGGGUUAAUUGAGUGGACCUCAAUUUAGGCAAGAGACAUGUAAUUUUUGUGUACCCCUGAUUUGUUGGAUUGAAAGCCAAUCAGAGGCUUCCCAUGUCAUCCUGAAGGAUUCUUCAGCUAGAGGCACAUUCCAGCCAUCUCCUUGAUCUUCCAUCUAACCCUUGCUACCCCAACCAGUGGAAUUCCUGAGCCGAGUCCUUGAGUAACAAUCUGCUCAGCUUUGUAAUCACCACCCUGGAGUCACGCUGUCUGGAUUCUGGAGUCAACCAGUUGCCAACUCACAUUGUCAAUUCUAUCUACCAGACCCCAGACAGCACUUCAUAUCCCAUCCAACCAUACAUCCCAGCCAUCUGCCCAUUAUGACUCCUCUCCUACUCCGCCCUUUCCGUCUUUCCUGCUUUGUACCUCUUGUUCUGGGAAGAAUAGUCAAAUGAACACUAGCAUGGCUCCUUGAGAGGGCAUGCCAAUUGAUUCCUGUAUGGCUCCAUUCAUUGUCCCUGUGAAUUCUCAGACCUUCCUUGGCCAUCGCUCCUUUAUAUGUGUCAGUUCCCCCUACUAAAAUGUAAGUUCCCUGAGGUCAGGAACUGUUUUGCACUUAGCACAAUUCUUGACACA